rnacentral:tRNA from 1 species
GGGAUUGUAGCUUAACUGGUAGAGCAUUUGCCUUGUAUGUGUGAGGCACUGGGUUCAAUCCUCAGCAUCACCU